UACGUAGGGGGCUAGCGUUGUCCGGAAUCAUUGGGCGUAAAGCGCGUGUAGGCGGUCCGGUAAGUCCGCUGUGAAAGUCGGGGGCUCAACCCUCGAAUGCCGGUGGAUACUGUCGGGCUAGAGUGCGGAAGAGGCGAGUGGAAUUCCUGGUGUAGCGGUGAAAUGCGUAGAUAUCAGGAGGAACACCUGUGGCGAAAGCGGCUCACUGGACCAUAACUGACGCUGAUGCACGAAAGCUAGGGGAGCAAACAGG
rnacentral:rRNA from 1 species